CAUGAAGAAAACUCAGAGAGAGAGGAGCUGGACCAUCUGAAACUUGCUCUCUCUCUCCAAACUCAUGAUCAAUGAACUGCCUGCCUCCAGAGGAAUUCUCCACCUGCCUCUGGAUGAUACUUGUCCCACCUGGAUCCAGUAGAGGCUAGAGAUAUCCGAUGUCCAUGGUGCUUCUUCAGCAUCUCCCUCCAUGGUUUAACUUUUGCCGUGCUUUUGUUCCUGUGUGUCAUCCUGCUGGCUCCAUUCCUUGCCAGGCCGGGGGAACAGACAUGCCAGCGGCUGCAGGCGAACUUUUAUUGACCCAGAAUUGCCCAGAAUCUGACAGACUACUGAAGAUCUUGUGAGACAUACCAGAGGACCAGCAAAAGUGGGGACAAGAGAGAGGAUCCCCUACAGCCCCUCCCUAUCAUUGAUCAACCCUUCCAAAGAAGGAUAUUGUGGGCCUACUGAGGCAUAAGACCCAUAGAAGGAAGAAAUACAUCCUGACUCUAGUGGAUUUCGCAACUUGGUACCCAGAGGCAAUUGCCUUGACCUCUGCCAAGGCACCUGUAGUUGCUGAAGCCCUGACCCCAAGAUCUUCUUUCAGCUGGGGUUUCCCUCCGACAUCCUGACUGACAAAGGUGGGAACUUCCUGGCGGAGGUGAUGAAGUGCCUGCAGGAGUGCUGUGGAGUAAAACACCUUAACACCACAGCCUACCACCCUCAGACAAAUGGGCUUGUAGAAAGGUUCAAUGGUAUGCUAAAGGCCUAUGUGGACCUAACCCCAGUGACUGGGAUGAAAAACUUCCGCAUUUGCUCUUUGCCUACCAUGAAGUACCCCAGGAGUCCACUGGGUUCUCGACAUUCGAGUUGAUGUCCAGAAGGGGAGUUGGGGAUCCUCUCGAUUUGCUGAGAGAAGAGUGGAAAGGGAAAAUCUCUUCCACUAAGACCUCCAUGGUAGAGUACAUGCUCAGCUUUUGUCAGAAGCUAACUGACAUGACAAAGGUGGCACAAGACUCCUUGGCCCAGGCCCAGGAGAAGCAAAAUGUCUGGUAUGAUGAAAAAGCUCGCUUAUGUACCUUUGAAUGAGGUGAUAAGGUCAUGGUUUUCCUGCCACUAAGCAGCUUGGGAAGAUCCCCAUAUCAUCCUGGACAGGCUAGAUGAUGUGACCUAUGUAGCGAUCAGGAGUGGGGCAGACAAAAAGCCUAAGAUAGUACACAUGAACACGCUUAAACCAUGCUUUAAUAGAUGUGAUGUGGUAUUCUGGAUUUCCUCAGUAGAAGGAUCACCUGAUGUACUGGGAUGGAGAGCCAGGAAUAGAGGAAUUCCACCUGCCAGAUCAUCUGCCCUUCCAGGACAAUGACAAACUGCUCGCAGCACUCAAGGACUUUGAGACAGUGUUCUCCAACAAACCAGGUAACAUGAACCUGGCAGUACACUCUACAGACACAGGCAGCAAUUGCCCCAUCCAAUCCAGACCAUAUGCAGUUAAUGCGAAGGUGAUGCAAGAAACAAAGCGGGAAAUCGUAGAGAUGAGAGUUAGGGGUAAUCUGGCCUUCAAUGAGUUCCUAGGUCAGCCUGGUGGUACUUGUCCGGAAGCAGGAUGGGUCCAGCCGGUUCUGUGUGGACUACAGGAAGCUGAAUGCUGUUACCACCCCUGACGCUUACCCUUUGCCCAGGACUGCCUCUUUGCUUGGAUCACCUGCUCCCAGCCAAGGUCACCUCUACUCUUGAUCUGUCCAAAGGAUUCUGGCAAAUGGCACUGGAUCCAGACACCAUAGCCAAGUCUGCCUUUACCACACCUGUGGGACUAUAUGAGUUUACAGUUUUACCUUUUGGUGUGUGCAACUCUCCCACAUCUUUUCAAAGACUGAUUAAUAACCUGUUACAAGAAUGUGAGCAGUUUGCCAUGGCUUACAUUGAUGACAUCGCCAUCUUCAGUCAGGACUUUGAAUUGCACCUGAUUCAUCUGACCACUGUGUUAGGUAGGAUCAAGCAAGCUGGUCUUACCAUAAAAGCCAAAAAGUGCCAGUUGGCACUAUCUGAAGUGGUAUAUUUGGGACAUUGUGUGGGGGGAGGUCAGAUUGCUCCCUUGUGGGACAAGAUUGAGGCUAUCAGAGACUGGCCAUCCCCACAAAUCAAGAAGCAAGUCAGACCCUUCCUUGGCCUGGCUGGAUAUUACAGGCAUUUUGUCCCUGGAUUUGGAGUGAUGACAGCUCCCCUACAUGAGAUGACCAAGAAGAGCAGCCCUGAUCCAGUGGUCUGGAAGCAGGGGUGCCAGGAAGCAUUUGACACCCUACAGGCUGCCCUUAUCAAACCACCAAUUCUGAAUGCACUGGUCUAUGAUAAACCCUUCUAUGUAGUCAUUGAUGCCUCUGAUUCAGGAUUAGGAGCUGUACUUUUACAAGAGCACAGAGACAUGGCACCCCACGGUUUACUUGAGCCAGAAGUUAAUCCCUUGGGAGCAGAACCUGUCAUCUAUUGAAAAGGAGUGUUUGGCAAUCAGCUGGGCACUGAACAAGCUGAGGCCCUAUCUGUGAGGGCAGCAGUUCACCAUUAUAUCGGACCAUGCCCCACUUCAAUGAUUGCAGACAAUGGAAAACACCAAUGCCAAGCUUCAACAAUGGGCCUGACGGUUUCAAGAGUUCAACUUCACCAUCAUAUACAUCAAGGGAAGCCAGAAUUUGAUAGCAGAUGCCCUGUCACAAAAGGACUCUGGGUAGUGGGUCAGAUGGACUCAGGCACACCUGAGAGAGGUCUGGCAUGGGAGCUUCCCAGUGUGUUUCGAUGUCCUACAUGUAUUAUUGUUAUGACUAGUCUUAUGUGUUCUGUAAUCUCUCUUCAGGUGUGAAAGAUGACCCUUCCAAAUGAAACACGCUCGUACCCAUGGCUCUGUGAAGCCAUGUGCCCAAGCUUUUAAAAGGGGGGGAAGUGGGGCAGAAUGCCACCUCUGUUCUGUCUCUCCUCAAAAACUGUGCUCUAUAACAAUUUGGUUAACAUGUUAGGCCCUGCAGAGGGCAGACAUCCCAUCUCUUUAGGUAACCUGAGUAGGAUACAUUCCUGAGGGAGGGGACACCCAGGCAUCACAUACCUGGGUGAGGGAUUUAAACUCACUAUUGUUCUAAGCAAUGCCAUCCUGACUGGGAGGGGGCUAGAGACCCUGCCAGUCUACCCAGCAACCAGUGAUGCAUUUCAAAUUGGUUGGCUGACAGCCAACAGGUGCUAGCCUCCAUUGGACCAGGUAAAUGAAGUCAUGACUGCCCAGGAGGAGGAGCAGGAGCCAUGGCGAAAACUCAGAGAGAAGAGCUGGACCAUCUGAAACUUGCUCUCUCUCUUGAAACUCAUGAUCAAUGAACUGCCUGCCUCCAGAGGGAUUCUCCACCUGCCUCUGGAUGAUACUCAUGAGUAAGCUACCUGAGAUCUAGCUAGAUAUAUAGCUUGCAGUAACUCAGAUGCAUGAUCAAAGGCUACCCAGCGACCCUGUUUGCUCUAUGGGAUUUCUCUGAUUGCUCUACCCUGUACCCUAUUCCAAACCUACUCCUUGUAACCAAUAAAGUUCUCCUUUGAACCUAGCAUGGGAGACUCACUGGGAGAGGAGCUAGAUUAUGGCUCAGGUGUCCCUUUGGUUUGGCUGACUAAGGGAGACCACUAUUUGUGCUUCAGACUGAGGGAAGCACCCCAAGUUCUCAAAGUGGGUUGAGUACCCUCGAGGGCUACUAGGCAUGUAUUUCCCUGGGGAUACAGUGCCAGGGUCAGGCCAGACCCUGGGUGGUGGUGGUGCUAUCCCCAGGCUAACGGGUAUGCUCCAGAAAGGGGGUCAGCCAGACGCAAGGUGUCCCCAGGGAGGCACUCAGAGCCUGGAAGGUGCUCGGGUGUGGUGAGGUGGGUGGCUCAGUGCAGGAACAGCCGCUACUGGACUGCCACAAUGUUCCUAGAGCUAUGUGGGCAAUGGUCUCUCAAAUGCAGAGGAAGGUGUCAAUUUUGGCGACUAUGUUGUCCUCAGUGGCAGAGGACAGGGACAUGUAGUGCUGUGACAGGUAGCUGUCCAGCCAUCAGCAGAGGUUGCAUGGCAGCCCAGGCUUGACCCCUGCACCAUCAUAGCUCAGGGUCCUGAGCCAGGAUCGUAGGUGUGCCUGAGGCACCAACAGGAUGAGCAGGAGCAGGGUGUAGCAGCUCAGGCUACCCUCUUCUUUCACAAACAGAUCAUUGUGCAUCGACUGGGGAACACUGCAGGGGCAUGCUUGGUGCACACUGGUGGCAUGUGGGGGCAGCACCCUGGCACUUCUCCAGAGAGGUCCCCUGCAGGAAGGGCGUGGGUGUAGCCAGACCCACACCCCAGUUGUCUGGGAGCCCCAUGCGCCCCAAGCUCAGACUCCAUGGGCUGUGCAUCAGUGCAGCGACUGGAGAGCAGCUGGCCUGCAGGGGCAGGGGGAACGGGAUCUGUUGCUGCGCCAAGUGGGGAGGGGUCAGGGCAGCCAGCACACUGCAUGGUGAAGGACACAGAGGAUCGAGUGGGGGAUAGGUAUCUCAGCCACCCGGCAGCCACCUAGGCACAGUCCUGCCCACCUGCACAGCUUACCAUGUUCUCUGGGCACCGUCACACUGCUGAUCUCCAAUCUGAGGCCGGGCACCACUAGGCCUCCGGUGCAGAGAAUCUUAUUUCUACAAUGUUGCAAACUCAUACAAAAGGCCUCUGUCUCUUGCCUGUUCAGGGCCAACAUCUGCAUGCAGGGAUGAGGGAGCAGGGCCCUGUGGGAGUGCUGCCUCAGGGUUGCCUGCCAACACCUGCUGCUGAAGACAUCUGGGCAUACACCAGAGACUGGACCCUGCUCCAGUAGCAGGUGGCCAGCCAUGGAUGGCCAGUGGUGCCUCUGUAAUCAGGUCUUAUGCUCUGCUCCCAUAACAUUUAAUAUAAAUGCAUGCAGCUUUAAAUCAUUCCCUGAAGAACCAACCCAAUUGGGGAGUAAGUCAGGGCAGGGGCUUUCAAGGCCCAGGCUUUUAUUAUUGUGACCACAGAAAUACAGUAGGCAAAUUGAGCCCACUUUAUGUGUGUGUUAGCCCAGGAUUUGGCUAAGGCAGGGAACCCUAAUUGGGCAGGUCCUCUUACUGCAUCAAGCUACCAAGGGGUUAUCAAACAACCUCCCACCAGUCGUCCACAAGCUAGCAACUGCCUCCCCACCCAAAGUCCACCUCUUAAACAGAGAGAACAUGAAGUAAAAAACCCAACAAAGCAAACAGAAAACUUUAUUUACAAACAAGAAAAAUAAAAAAAGAAACAAAACAAAGAACAACAUUUUUAAACAUUCAUUCAAAAGUACUAUAAAUAAUUAUGGGUCAUUAUACUAUAACAAUAUAGUAUAGUUAUAGCAUAGUAGAACUAGUUAUAGCGUGGUAUAAGUAUAUAACUUCUAUGCUAUAACAAUAACUAAACUAUUACUAUCACAAUAAAAAGUUACUGUAGCAAUUCUUAAGUACAACAAUUAAUAAGUUAUUCUGAACUGGACAGAGAACUGUUAAUUUGCAUUGUGCAGAUAUGUGCCCAACAUUGCUGCUGACUGGCAUGGAAAGAUGCAGGGGCUCCUGCAGGACCAGGUCUGAUGACCACCAGGCAUAGAAUAGGGAGAAGUACACUCAAUAGUACUUGGCGGUCCUGCCAGGUCUGGGUAUGCCUCCUGGACUCAGCGUGGUUGCUUUUACCCUGGACGCCCACGUUGCUUCCCAUAGCUCGAUGGAUCUGUCUGACCAGGUCUCACAGCCACUGUUUGCAUUCCCUGAGGUCAUUCACCAGCACGUUACUUCUAGCAUUGGCUGCAGCCUGCCUGGGUUGCCUGCAUGUCCUUGGUGGAGGUGUUGCAAUCUGAGCUGAAAAGAAACAAAAUAACGGAAAUUAAUAAAUGCAGUAAUUAGACUGAUUGAUGGAUGCUCGCUGCUUUAAAAAGAUGCACUCAGAGAAUCCUGGGAGCAGAAGAAAAAGAAAACUGUUCAGUCCAAAAUGACUGAGAAUCAGUGCCUGGCCAAGGGGGGUAGCAAGUCCUGAUUGGCUGUACACAAGUGUGAUUCUGCUGCAAACAAGUGGCUGAAAACAAAUUCCUCUCUCCCUGCUUCACCUCACAGCCCAGCCUAAUCACAUCUGUCACUUCAGGUGACAGGUGACUGACUAUUAGGUUCCUCAGGGCUUCACAUAUGUUACGCCUCAGCUCUGUAUUCUUGGGCAACCCUGGCACAGGAUGCAGUCUGUCUGACUCACAAAGAACUCCCCCCCCCCCCCCCCCCCCCCCCCCCC